rnacentral:rRNA from 1 species
AUUGAACGCUGGCGGCAUGCUUUACACAUGCAAGUCGAACGGUAACAGGGUGCUUGCACCGCUGACGAGUGGCGAACGGGUGAGUAAUGCGUCGGAACGUGCCGAGUAGUGGGGGAUAACGCAUCGAAAGGUGUGCUAAUGCCGCAUACGUACUGAGGUAGAAAGUGGGGGACCUUCGGGCCUUCCGCUAUUCGAGCGGCCGACGUCUGAUUAGCUAGUUGGUGAGGUAAAGGCUCACCAAGGCGACGAUCAGUAGCGGGUCUGAGAGGACGACCAGCCACACUGGGACUGAGACACGGCCCAGACUCCUACGGGAGGCAGCAGUGGGGAAUUUUGGACAAUGGACGCAAGUCUGAUCCAGCCAUGCCGCGUGCGGGAAGAAGGCCUUCGGGUUGUAAACCGCUUUUGUCAGGGAAGAAACGCUCUGGGUUAAUACCUCGGGGUAAUGACGGUACCUGAAGAAUAAGCACCGGCUAACUACGUGCCAGCAGCCGCGGUAAGAC